rnacentral:rRNA from 1 species
AACAGAGCUACCCCAUCCUGAUCUUGUCUGAUAUAAGNAACUAAGCAGAGUUGGGCCUGUUUAAUACUUAAGUGGGAGAUCAAUAUGGAACCCCAGGUGUUACAGGCU